rnacentral:rRNA from 1 species
UGGCUCGAGGACGAACGCUGGCGGCGUGCUUAACACAUGCAAGUCGAACGGUGACGAGGAGCUUGCUCCUCUGAUCAGUGGCGAACGGGUGAGUAACACGUGAGCAACCUGCCCCAGACUCUGGGAUAACAGUUGGAAACAGCUGCUAAUACCGGAUACGAGACGGAGAGGCAUCUCUACCGUCUGGAAAGUUUUUCGGUCUGGGAUGGACUCGCGGCCUAUCAGCUAGUUGGUGAGGUAAAUGGGCUCACCAAGGCGACGACGGGUAGCCGGCCUGAGAGGGCGACCGGCCACACUGGGACUGAGACACGGCCCAGACUCCUACGGGAGGCAGCAGUGGGGAAUAUUGCACAAUGGGCGAAAGCCUGAUGCAGCGACGCCGCGUGAGGGAUGAAGGCCUUCGGGUUGUAAACCUCUUUCAGCAGGGAAGAAGCGAAAGUGACGGUACCUGCAGAAGAAGCACCGGCUAACUACGUG